rnacentral:rRNA from 1 species
UACGGAGGGGGCUAGCGUUGUUCGGAAUUACUGGGCGUAAAGCGCACGUAGGCGGCUUUGUAAGUUAGAGGUGAAAGCCCAGGGCUUAACCCUGGAAUUGCCUUUAAGACUGCAUCGCUAGGAUUGUGGAGAGGUAAGUGGAAUUCCGAGUGUAGAGGUGAAAUUCGUAGAUAUGUGGAGGAACACCAGUGGCGAAGGCGACUCUCUGGGCUGUAACUGACGCUGAGGCGCGAAAGCGUGGGGAGCAAACAGG